UGGUUCUGGCAUCGAUGAAGAACGCAGCGAAAUGCGAUAAGUAGUGUGAAUUGCAGAAUUCAGUGAAUCAUCGAAUCUUUGAACGCACAUUGCGCCCCUUGGUAUUCCAUGGGGCAUGCCUGUUCGAGCGUCAUUUGUACCUUCAAGCUCUGCUUGGU
rnacentral:rRNA from 1 species